ACUCCAUGUAUAUAAACAAAGGGUGACCUCAUCUGUUUACACGCUCCGAGACUCGCCUGGUAAAAGCCGCUUCAUUCCGUCUCCAAAUGGCUACAGACAUGGAAACAUUCCUUUCUUUUGAGGAAACAUAUUACGAUCAAUAUGACUAUUAUAAUAUUCGUGAAUACUCAUGCCAUGCUUGUGGCAAAGGGAGAUCCAAGCGAGAAAUCGAGCUGAACACAAACCGCCAUUGUCCCUCCGGACACGAGAGGAAGAUAGCAGAAAAAUUUCACAACAGCGAAGUGAAACGCAGGAGACCCAAAAUCGUGUCUUGAUGGCUUUCGGUGUUUUCAGAUCCGGACACAAAGUCGGAUUCCCGAUGUUGACCAUGGCCGAGGUUCCCUGCCUUCCCUGACCCGUGAAUGGAGCGCUGUGACACCGGGAACAUGCCCCGUAAUCAGUCACGUGACACCUCUCCGUUCCAUUCUCUGGCGCUAUUACUCUCAAGUUACAGCCCUGCAAAUGUACUUUGUGUUGAGCUAUAUAGGUCAGUGGUGUGUGCUUGAUAAAUGUAUAGAGGUAUGUAGUUAAUUAUGUAGGUGCUGAAUAUAUUAUACUGUAUUUUUUAUUCAAUAAAAAACUGAUGCUAACUAAA